UACGGAGGGUGCAAGCGUUAUCCGGAUUCACUGGGUUUAAAGGGUGCGUAGGCGGGCAGGUAAGUCAGUGGUGAAAUCUUCGAGCUUAACUCGGAAACUGCCGUUGAUACUAUCUGUCUUGAAUAUCGUGGAGGUAAGCGGAAUAUGUCAUGUAGCGGUGAAAUGCUUAGAUAUGACAUAGAACACCGAUUGCGAAGGCAGCUUACUACACGAUCAUUGACGCUGAGGCACGAAAGCGUGGGGAGCAAACAGG
rnacentral:rRNA from 1 species